AAAGAGUUUGAAUAAGGCUCUUGAGGAGGAAAGAGAUUCAAGUUUGAAGAUUAAUUCGGACCUCCAAGAGAAGCUUAGCGAUGCGGAAUCAACGAUCAAAUCUUCUAACGACAAGAUUGGAUUUUUGGAGCAUCAAUUUCAUGAAUCGCACAAGUCCAAUCAAGUCUUGACCAACCAAGUUCGUCAACUCCAAUCCGAUCUUCAACAAUUUUCUUCGGGAUCAAAGAAGUUGGACAAAAUGCUUGGAUUGGGUCAAACGAGCAAAUUGGGCCUUGGAUAUGAACGGACAUAUGUUGAGAAGGAUCAAACGGCGACAUCUAAACUCUCAACAACUUUGAAAGGCAAAGUGUGUCAUCGAUGUGGCAUCAAAGGACACAUCAAAAGGAAUUGCCCAAACAAAGACAAGAAGAAUCAAUCGGCAACUUCUAAACCUCA
rnacentral:lncRNA from 1 species